rnacentral:lncRNA from 1 species
UAUAUAAACAAUAUACAAUUCAAACAACAAAAUGUUAUGAAGAUCAGUAGUAUGAGCUGUAACUGAAAAUUAUAAAUUACAAAACUGUUUAAUUACAUGAAAUCAUUCACCACAUUAUUUCUAGUUUGAUUUUGAUAUAACUUUAAACAGAAUUUAGCUGUAAACUGCAUGCUGCGUAUAUGACAUGUUUAAACAGUAAAACUUGGAAUGUUGAGCAUUAACAUCUUACAGGGGGAUUCUCUAAUACAGUCAGAGCUGUCAUGCUGAAAAUUCAUAUUUCUAUAGACGCUUUAAAAUACAAUGUUAUAAAGAAUGAUCAAACAAGUAUAAAUCAUGCUUAAACAAAGCAGGGUGGUCAUACAAUUGGGUCAGUCUUUUUUUAUAACUUUAAUGAGAAAUACAAAGAAUCUCAAACAAGAAUUACUGAUUGUUUCGUGCACUGUUGUGCAAGGUCCUUAUUCAGAACGUCAAUCAUGUUUAAUAUCCAGCUGGUUACAAGAUGUGAAACAAAAAUCAAUCAAUUGUGCUAAUAUAAAGACUAAGUUACAUAAAGAAAAAAAAAAUAAGAAAAAUUUAAUUCAGUCUGAUGAAAAUAUAUAUUUUUCAAAGAUAUCAGUGAAAAUUAAAAAGACAUUUGUAUACAGGUGAUAUAUUCGAAACAGUAAUUGUUCUAUUGUAUACAUAGUAAAUGAUGGUCAUAUGGUUAGUCAACAGACUUAAAUUUGAAUGUUUGCAUAACCUGAAGGUUAUUCUUACAAAAUUAAUUCAAAACUAAUUUUAGAGUUUCAAAUUAAAUCAUCUUUCGAAAGCUGAAAAGCAAAUGAUGGAAAGACAAACAGACAUUAGACCCACAGUGAUGAUAGAUCUCACAUGACCUUUCAUAACUUCUGAGAUACAAUAUUUUGUAACAUAAGAAUUUGUUUCAAUACAAAUAAAAAUUAUGUGUCACUGUCAAGUCUGUCCUGUAAAGACAAUAAACAUUCUGUGUCACUGUCAAGUCUGUCCUGUAAAGACAAUAAACAUUAUGUGUCACUGUCAAGUCUGUCCUGUAAAGACAAUAAACAUUCUGUGUCACUGUCAAGUCUGUCCUGUAAAGACAAUAAACACUCUGUGUCACUGUCAAGUCUGUCAUGUAAAGACAAUAAACAUUAUGUGUCACUGUCAAGUCUGUCCUGUAAAGACAAUAAACAUUCUGUGUCACUGUCAAGUCUGUCCUGUAAAGACUAUAAACAGUAUGUGUCACUGUCAAGUCUGUCCUGUAAAGACAAUAAACAUUCUGUGUCACUGUCAAGUCUGUCCUGUAAAGACUAUAAACAUUAUGUGUCACUGUCAAGUCUGUCCUGUAAAGACAAUAAACAUUCUGUGUCACAGUCAAGUCUGUCCUGUAAAGACAAUAAACAUUCUGUGUCACUGUCAAGUCUGUCCUGUAAAGACUUGAUUGAUAACUGUAUAUCAAUGUAAUUAGUUCUUAAAUAAGUUCUUAGUGAAUACCACAUAUGUUGAUUGAUAACUGUAUAUCAAUGUAAUUAGUUCUUAAAUAAGUUC